rnacentral:rRNA from 1 species
UACAGAGGUCUCAAGCGUUGUUCGGAUUCAUUGGGCGUAAAGGGUGCGUAGGCGGCGCGGUAAGUCGGGUGUGAAAUCUCGGAGCUUAACUCCGAAACUGCAUUCGAUACUGCCGUGCUUGAGGACUGGAGAGGAGACUGGAAUUUACGGUGUAAGCGGUGAAAUGCGUAGAUAAUCGUAAGGAAGACCAGUGGCGAAGGCGGGUCUCUGGACAGGUUCCUGACGCUGAGGCACGAAGGCCAGGGGAGCAAACGGG